GAAUGGACGCGCCAGACCGUCAGCCCGGGCCUGCAGUAGACUUCUGGAGAGUAGACCAGCGGCGGCCGGCGAGGCCGGGAGCACCGGAGGAGGAGGGAGGACGGCCGGGCGGCGCUGUGUGUUUUCCGCCUCAUCCUUUCCGGUAGUCGGCACUCGGCGUGUGUACCGGCCGGGGCAUCCGCGGGCUCUCGUGUGGACGCCAUGGCUGCAAGGUGUUCGACGUAAUGCUCCCUGCUUCUGAUGGUGCUCACAGGACCCCAGCGAGGUACUUCUUUCGAUAAUACAUGGGCAAGACUGCAGGCAUUAUGAAGGUGCAGAGUGAGACAUGGAGUUGCCUUGUCUUCUCACCCUGAAAGGAGUUACCUUGAGUGGUGGGUGAUGAAGGAAUGUUUUCUUGCCAGGAUGCUUUCUCAUCUUCUGUCCACUUGUUUCAGGAAUCAGGGUUGAUGAAAUGAGGGAUACAAAGUGCAUACCGUGGCUUCACAUUAUAAUUCUUGUUCCAGAUAAGUUGCCUCGUGGCCAUGAAUCUCAUCCAAACCAGUAGUCCAGCAAGACCCAAUUGUCCCACAUCUUU